CUUUUCCUCUGAAUCUUUGAUUUUCUAUAAUAUUAAAAAGUGAUUUUUGAAAAAUAUAUAUUAGAGUAUAACAUAAAAAUAACAUUGCCAUUAAUUGAAUAUAUUUUAACAAUUAUAUUGUAGAGAACUAUUCAAUGAUGUCAUAUAUACGCGUUACCGAAUGCAAACAAGUAGAAUUUAUCCAUCCGCGCUUGGGUAAUAAAGGACAGUCUCAGCUCGCGGAUAUAUCCGCGUUGAAUGCAAAUUGGUUAAAAUAAUAUUUUUUAAUAUAUAAAAUAUAUAAAAUAUACAAAAUAUACAAUAAAGCUUAUACUAAAGCUUUAGUAACUCUUAAUAAUUUUUAAAAUAAUAAAAAUCUUAUAUUAUAGAAAA